rnacentral:rRNA from 1 species
GACGAACGCUGGCGGCGUGCUUAACACAUACAAGUCGAACGGAAAGGCCCUGCUUUUGUGGGGUGCUCGAGUGGCGAACGGGUGAGUAACACGUGAGUAACCUGCCCUUGACUUUGGGAUAACUUCAGGAAACUGGGGCUAAUACCGGAUAGGAGCUCCUGCUGCAUGGUGGGGGUUGGAAAGUUUCGGCGGUUGGGGAUGGACUCGCGGCUUAUCAGCUUGUUGGUGGGGUAGUGGCUUACCAAGGCUUUGACGGGUAGCCGGCCUGAGAGGGUGACCGGCCACAUUGGGACUGAGAUACGGCCCAGACUCCUACGGGAGGCAGCAGUGGGGAAUAUUGCACAAUGGGCGGAAGCCUGAUGCAGCAACGCCGCGUGCGGGAUGACGGCCUUCGGGUUGUGAACCGCUUUCGCCUGUGACGAAGCGUGAGUGACGGUAAUGGGUAAAGAAGCACCGGCUAACUACGUG